UACGUAGGGCGCAAGCGUUGUCCGGAAUUAUUGGGCGUAAAGAGCUCGUAGGCGGCUUGUCACGUCGGAUGUGAAAGCCCGAGGCUUAACCUCGGGUCUGCAUUCGAUACGGGCUAGCUAGAGUGUGGUAGGGGAGAUCGGAAUUCCUGGUGUAGCGGUGAAAUGCGCAGAUGUCAGGAGGAACACCGGUGGCGAAGGCGGAUCUCUGGGCCAUUACUGACGCUGAGGAGCGAAAGCGUGGGGAGCAAACAGG
rnacentral:rRNA from 1 species